rnacentral:lncRNA from 1 species
GUAGGCUGAGGCAGGAGAAUUGCUUGAACAGGGGAGGCGGAGGUUGUGGUGAGCCGAGAUUGCGCCACUGCACUCUAGCCUGGGCAACAACAGAAAAUUCUGUCUCAAAAAAAAAGAUAAAGAAAAAGAAAAAAAAAUCCUGUUCUCUCUCUUUCUGCUGUGAUGUGUGUGCAUGUCUGGCUUGCAUGGAAAUGAGGUCCUGGAGAGAGAUGGGUGAUGUACAAUGUGGAAUAAAAUCCGCUUUGUAAACAUGUUCCUCAUUCCAUAAUGACAUUCCCUUUGGUAUUUACAGAAGAUUUCUCCUUGUGUGUUUUACACAGUAAGUAUGACUAAUGUGAAUUUCCGCUCAUUUGCCUCUUCUAGGUGGAAUUGUGUAGCCCAAUAAACACAAUAAUGAAGAAGGCUUAUGAAAGUCAAAGUGAGGAUUUCUCAGUGUGGUUUUUAUUAAAGGAAGGAGAAAAUCUUGCAUUUGGCUAUAGGUUGACAUUUUCAAAAGCCCACUCUAAGAAAAUGAAAAAUAUGUAUCACAUAUAUAUUUAAAAGUUUUUAAAAAAGAUUGUAAACACCAUACAAGCUACUUAAGAAAACAUGGAACAUUAAAAAAAAAAAAAGAAGAAGUGAAAAAUCCGAUCAUAGUUUCACUUUUAAUUUAUUGCGUAUCCUUCCGCGCCAAGGUUUUUUGUUGUUGCUUGAAUAUCGGCUGCCACUCAUCCCCUCCCCCCUUUUUAAAAGGAAGGUAAUUUAUGUAGAAAGUGAGGUAUCAAUUAAUAGGUUGGAUUUCUAAAGGACAGAAGAGCCAUACUGGCCUUUUGGGUAAAACGGACCAUAUUAACUGACCUUUGUUCAGCCCUGUUGUUGUGAGGUAGGGGAAGUAUUCCUUUGAAGGGGAUGAGGGCCUCCUUCAUUGUAAAGACAGUUUAGAGAGAAAUUACUCAAUAGGUGCACGUUUGGAAUUCAGUAUGUUUUCUAGAGCUACUGGCGGCAGCUUCUUUCGUUGACAUGGGCUGCAAUAGUUGCUGAAACCUGCGAGUCAGAAGCAAGGGGUGGGGAGGCGCCAUUUGCUAAACCGGAACUGGUUAAAAUCUCAGGGUGGAGACCAUUCCCAGUCAGCAAGGGCUUGCCAAGUGCAUACAGUUCCUGCUUCUGGUAUCUACUUUGGAGAGCACAGAGUGGACGUUUGUCUGCCAUUCCACUGGCAGUAGGAUCAACAGCUACUGCUGGUGCUAGCAACCCCCUACCCUCUCGGGCCUCUGGACCUAGCUUGAAGUUCUGGAUUAUUUCCUUCUUCCUUGUACCUCAGCCUGAGCCUUCUGUCACCCAAAGGGCUCCAGCUGGUUUUUCACUCAGGCCUCAUUUUAUCUUCCAAGGUAUGUUUAAGGGAAGGAGUAGACAGGAUUAUGUCUCUCACUUC